GCCCCCGUAGCUCAGUGGAUAGAACGCAGGCCUCCGGAGCUGGGUGCGCGCGUACGAAUCGCGCCGGGGGGGCCG
rnacentral:tRNA from 2 species